rnacentral:tRNA from 1 species
GCCGAGGUGGCGAAACGGCAGACGCGGCGGACUUAAAAUCCGCUGGGGCACCGCCCCGUGUGGGUUCAAAUCCCACCCUCGGCACC